rnacentral:rRNA from 1 species
UACAGAGGUGGCAAGCGUUGUUCGGAAUUACUGGGCGUAAAGGGCGCGUAGGCGGUCCGAUAAGUCCUGUGUGAAAUCCCUCGGCUCAACUGAGGAACUGCACGGGAGACUGCCGGGCUUGAGUUCGGGAGAGGGAAGCGGAAUUCCGGGUGUAGCGGUGAAAUGCGUAGAUAUCCGGAGGAACACCGGUGGCGAAGGCGGCUUCCUGGACCGACACUGACGCUGAGGCGCGAAAGCGUGGGGAGCGAACAGG